UCCUACGGGGGGCUGCAGUGGGGAAUAUUGGACAAUGGGCGAAAGCCUGAUCCAGCCAUGCCGCGUGUGUGAAGAAGGCCUUCGGGUCGUAAAGCACUUUAAGUUGGGAGGAAGGGCUCAUAGCGAAUACCUGUGAGUUUUGACGUUACCAACAGAAUAAGCACCGGCUAACUUCGUGCCAGCAGCCGCGGUAAUACGAAGGGUGCAAGCGUUAAUCGGAAUUACUGGGCGUAAAGCGCGCGUAGGUGGCUUGAUAAGUUGGAUGUGAAAUCCCCGGGCUCAACCUGGGAACUGCAUCCAAAACUGUCUGGCUAGAGUGCGGUAGAGGGUAGUGGAAUUUCCAGUGUAGCGGUGAAAUGCGUAGAUAUUGGAAGGAACACCAGUGGCGAAGGCGACUACCUGGACUGACACUGACA
rnacentral:rRNA from 1 species